GCUUACAGCCAUACCACCUUGAAUGCGCCUGAUCUCGUCUGAUCUCAGAAGCUAAGCAGGGUCAGGCCUGCUUAGUACUUGGAUGGGUGACCGCCUGGGAAUACCAGGUGCUGUAAGCU
rnacentral:rRNA from 1 species